rnacentral:misc_RNA from 1 species
GGUAGGUUCGAAUUUGAACCCAGAAGAAAACGGAAUCGAAAAUUUCUGAUAUGGAUGGUCUAUAACAAGUUACGAGCACUUUCCGCCAUUGCCACUUUAUUCUGCCUUGGCUGGUUGCUGUGAUUCUGUGAAGCGAUUGGUUUCUUGGAGAGACAGGAGAAACUGAUCCCUGAAUGCCGGAGACGGAGAGAGACGGCGGCCGAC